rnacentral:tRNA from 2 species
GCUCUCAUAGUGUAGUGGUCAACACUGUGGACUUUGAAUCCACCACCCUAGGUUCGACUCCUAGUGGGAGCU